AAUUUUUCUAACUGUAUAUAUGUGCUGUGUGUACCCCUAGCCAUUAAAAAACUAGUUGUUAAUUUCAUUCGCUGCAAUCUCUCUUAAGUUAGCUCCCAGCUCUCACUUCCGUUUACUUGAAUGUUUAGGGUGGUGGAUGAACGAGACGAAUGCAUUGCGCUCCUAAGAAGAUUCUGAACUGCCGAGGCUACCCAACUAGCUGCGAGUAGACAAGCGAGGCAUGGCUUGGUUACUGACUGCGGUUACUGCGCGAGCGCCGACGCGGCGGGGCGGGGCUUGCUCGGCCCGUUCGGGCUACUCGUGCUGGUCGAAAACGGCCUGUCAGAGCAGACCGCUGUCUACUUCGACCUGGUCAAGGGUGCGGACGGGAAGCUCAGCACUCACUUCUGCCAAGACGCCUUCAGGUCAUUGAAGGCGAACAUUCUCAUCAAGGCCGUUUACGGCAGCUUCGUCCCUGUACUUGAUGGAGAAAAUCUGCCAAGCAGAACAGGAAGAAUGUCAUGCCGGCCCGCAUCAUCAAGCACACCAUGGAGAUCAUACACCUCCUCACCGACGCCAACCCCAUAUUCCCUUCUCUCCUUCCUUGAGAUAGCUUGUAUUAUAUGAUGCACGCCCCGAUGCUCCCCUCGGUCUGGGCACCCGAUGCCAGGCAGGCUGUGGAUGCCCCAGACCUCAAGGCCGGCCGUGCUACUCCAGCUGCUCCUGCCCCGGCCA